AACUAACUUAAGAGGCAACUCUUAACUGGCCAGCCAGGGAAAAGCCGAGAGGCGCAAGCCUGGAGGGCAGAAAACCUCACAAAGCAGCGCUAAACAUGUGGGGUGGUCGGUUCGGCGGUAGCGACUACAACGACGGACCAA
rnacentral:sRNA from 1 species